rnacentral:rRNA from 1 species
GACGAACGCUGGCGGCGUGCCUAACACAUGCAAGUCGAACGGGCAGGCCCUGCUUUUGUGGGUUUCUCGAUUGGCGAACGGGUGUGUAACACAUGAGUAACCUGCCCUUGACUUUGUGGUAUCUUCAGGAAACUGGGGCUAAUACCCGAUAUGAUCUCCUGCUGCAUGGUGGGCGUUGGAAAGAUUCGGCGGUUGGGGAUCGACUCGCGGCUUAUCAGCUUGUUGGGGGGGUAGUGGCUGACCAAGGCUUUCACGGGUAGCCGGCCUGAGAGGGUGAGAGGCCACAUUGGGACUGAGAUACGGCACCGACUCCUACGGGAGGGAGCAGUGGGGAAUAUUGCACGAUGGGCGGAGGGCGGAUGAAGCAAGGCCGCGUGCGGGAUGACUGUCUUAGGGGUGUAAACCGAUUGCGCCUGUGACGAAGCGUGAGUGAAGGUAAUGGAUACAGAAGCACAGGCUAACUACGGG